CGGGGUGCAGCAGGCGCGAAAACUCUACAAUGCAGGCAACUGCGAUAGGGGAACAUCGAGUGAUCCUCAUAUUGGGGGUCUGUCCACCCGUCUAAAAAACGGGUGUUAGCAAGGGCCGGGCAAGACCGGUGCCAGCCGCCGCGGUAAUACCGGCGGCUCGAGUGGUGGCCGAUAUUAUUGAGUCUAAAGGGUCCGUAGCCGGCUUUGCAAGUCUCUCGGGAAAUCCAGCGGCUUAACCGUUGGUCGUCCGGGGGGUACUACAUUGCUUGGGACUGGGAGAGGUAGGAGGUACUCAGGGGGUAGGAGUGAAAUCCUGUAAUCCUUUGGGGACCACCGGUGGCGAAGGCGUCCUACCAGAACAGGUCCGACGGUGAGGGACGAAAGCUAGGGGCACGAACCGGAUUAGAUACCCGGGUAGUCCUAGCCGUAAACGAUGCUCGCUAGGUGUCACAACAGUCGUGAACUGUUGUGGUGCCGUAGGGAAGCCGUGAAGCGAGCCACUUGGGAAGUACGACCGCAAGGUUGAAACUUAAAGGAAUGG
rnacentral:rRNA from 1 species